UGAGGAAUAUUGGUCAAUGGGCGAGAGCCUGAACCAGCCAAGUAGCGUGCAGGAUGACGGCCCUAUGGGUUGUAAACUGCUUUUGUAUGGGGAUAAAGUCAAUCACGUGUGAUUGUUUGCAGGUACCAUACGAAUAAGGACCGGCUAAUUCCGUGCCAGCAGCCGCGGUAAUACGGAAGGUCCGGGCGUUAUCCGGAUUUAUUGGGUUUAAAGGGAGCGUAGGCUGGAGAUUAAGUGUGUUGUGAAAUGUAGACGCUCAACGUCUGACUUGCAGCGCAUACUGGUUUCCUUGAGUACGCACAACGUUGGCGGAAUUCGUCGUGUAGCGGUGAAAUGCUUAGAUAUGACGAAGAACUCCGAUUGCGAAGGCAGCUGACGGGAGCGCAACUGACGCUGAAGCUCGAAGGUGCGGGUAUCGAACAGGAUUAGAUACCCUGGUAGUCCGCACAGUAAACGAUGGAUGCCCGCUGUUGGUACCUGGUAUCAGCGGCUAAGCGAAAGCAUUAAGCAUCCCACCUGGGGAGUACGCCCGGNNCGG
rnacentral:rRNA from 1 species